UACGUAGGGACCGAGCGUUGUCCGGAAUUAUUGGGCGUAAAGAGCGCGUAGGCGGCCACUUAAGUCCUGCGUGAAAUCUUGCGGCUCAACCGCAAGCGGUCGUGGGAAACUGGGUGGCUAGAGUGCGGGAGAGGAGAGUGGAAUUCCUGGUGUAGCGGUGGAAUGCGCAGAUAUCAGGAAGAACACCGGUGGCGAAGGCGGGUCUCUGGGCCGAUACUGACGCUGAGGCACGAAGGCCAGGGGAGCAAACGGG
rnacentral:rRNA from 1 species